rnacentral:tRNA from 1 species
GCCGACGUAGCUCAAUUGGUAGAGCUCCUGAUUUGUAAUCAGGGGGUUGCGGGUUCGAGUCCCAUCGUCGGCUCCA